GUCAUUCUCAUCAUAAUACCCAAUUCAUUUCAUUUUUACAUAAAUGUACUCACCAAUUCAAAUAUUUCAUAGAAUCUUUUUAAA
rnacentral:tRNA from 1 species